CCUCUCCUCAUACCCCACCAUAUAAGUGCACUGGGAGAAGAUGACACCAGUGGAUGUGAACCAUAUUUUCUUUAACACCCAGCUUCUUCCUCAUGCAAGUCCCCCAACAAACAGAGCUUGUCUACAUGGCUGACGUUGAUGAAUGCAUGUAAAGGAUACGCUGCAGCUGACAGCUCUCGCUCACAGUGAUUAUCCGUCCUUGUCCACCUUCUCAAUCCCACACAAACAACAUCACAUGUGGGCUCAGUAUGGAAAGGUCAAGUGCCAC